rnacentral:snRNA from 1 species
GAUGUUCUAUCGUGUCGAUUCC